CCUACGGGGGCAGCAGUGGGGAAUAUUGGACAAUGGGCGAAAGCCUGAUCCAGCCAUGCCGCGUGUGUGAAGAAGGCCUUCGGGUUGUAAAGCACUUUCAGUGGGGAAGAAAGCCUUGGGGCUAAUACCCUCGAGGAAGGACAUCACCCACAGAAGAAGCACCGGCUAACUCCGUGCCAGCAGCCGCGGUAAUACGGAGGGUGCGAGCGUUAAUCGGAAUUACUGGGCGUAAAGCGCGCGUAGGCGGUCUGAUAAGCCGGUUGUGAAAGCCCCGGGCUCAACCUGGGAACGGCAUCCGGAACUGUCAGGCUAGAGUGCAGGAGAGGAAGGUAGAAUUCCCGGUGUAGCAGUGAAAUGCGUAGAGAUCGGGAGGAAUACCAGUGGCGAAGGCGGCCUUCUGGACUGACACUGACGCUGAGGUGCGAAAGCGUGGGUAGCAAACAGGAUUAGAUACCCCAGUAGUC
rnacentral:rRNA from 1 species